GGCCCGCGGGCAGGUUGUUGACCCGACCACCGGCCCCUGGGGCGGAAAGCUGGAACUGCUCCGGGAUAUGAUACUGAUCCCGAAGCCGAUCCACAUUCGGCUCCAAAAGCGAGGAAACCUCAACUUCCAGAGUCGACCGAAGGUCAUCGGUCGGGUUUCCCGAUCGAGCCUCCUAAGGUGAGGUUCUGGCCAUAACACCAAAACCAAGGGGAAGGCAAGCCCGAAGAAGAAGGAGAAGGAAAAGAAAAGGUUUUAAAGAAGACCAGAGCAAAACAGAAGAGGGGGGGGA
rnacentral:lncRNA from 1 species